GUCAGGAUGGCCGAGCGGUCCUAAGGCGCUGCGUUCAGGUAGCAGUCUAGUUCUGUUGACGUGGGUUCGAUUCCCAAUUCUGACA